rnacentral:rRNA from 1 species
UCAGACGAUGCGUCAUGCAUAUCAAUAAGCGGAGGAAAAGAAACUAACAAGGAUUCCCUUAGUAACGGCGAGUGAAGCGGGAAGAGCUCAAAUUUGAAAUCUUGAAAGGUCACCUUUCACGAAUUGUAGUUUAAAGAAGUGUUUUCUGCUGAAGUUUUGGUAAAAGUUCUUUGGAAUAGGACAUCAUAGAGGGUGAGAAUCCCGUAUUUGACCUUUACUUUCAACUUUGUGAUACACUUUCAAAGAGUCGGAUUGUUUGGGAAUGCAGUCCAAAAUGGGUGGUAAAUUUCAUCUAAAGCUAAAUAUUGGCGAGAGACCGAUAGCGAACAAGUACCGUGAGGGAAAGAUGAAAAGAACUUUGAAAAGAGUGUUAAAUAGUACGUGGAAUUGUCAAAAGGGAAGCGUUUAACACCAGUGUUGUUUUCUGAAAAUCAACCUCUGUUAGCUUUAUGCAUGUUUGUUUAGACCUAAUCAGCUAUCUUGCAUGUUCUAUUGUUUGCAGUGGUGCACUUUUCAGUUUACAGGUCAACAUCAGUUUUUUUUACCGUAAAAAAGUUAAAGAAAGGUAGCUCAUGGCUCCGGUCGUGAGUGUUAUAGUCUUUUUCCUAUGCGGUAGGAGAGACUGAGGUCUGCAGUGUAGGCUAUUUGGCUAGAUACUCAGGUGCUAUGUGAUACCAUUUCAUAAACAACUUGUUGAUUAUGUUUUGUCUAUUGCAUACUCGCUUGUACUAUCAUACCUACGCUUAGGAUGUUGACUGAUAUGUAGUCGUA